rnacentral:lncRNA from 1 species
UCGUCCGCCUCAUCUCACCCAUCCGUCCAUCUUUCCACCCUCAUCUCAUCCGUCCUUCACCUAGUCCACCCUCCAGGGCCUGACGCCUGGGGGAAACGCUCCUGAGCGAGUGCGGGAAGAACCGACGGGCGGCUCGCAGCGGGGGAGGCGGGGGCAGAGGCCGCCGGGGGACGGGGUGCAUCCCCCUCCUCCACUUCCCCUUCCAAGGGGAGGGGCACCACGCGCCCACGCAGCACACAGCCCGGCGCUGGACGCCAAAACCCGGCCCGGCCCGGCGUGACCCUCCCCCAACUCGGAGGGGGGAGGCACAGGCCGCAUUAGGCAAAAGAGCAGUGCUUGGCCCCCACCAUGGGGGGGCCAGCGCACACCUCGCACAAGGGCGGCUCUUGCCCACACACUGUGGCAAGUAGGCAGCUACUGCCUGCAGACUUCAGAGGAGUAGCUGAAGUCCAGGUACCCCAAGGCCCCCCUCUGAGAGCGCUAGAGAAGACUUUCUCACCGAGGGAUGCGAAGCAUGGCAGCGAGGGAGGCCUCCCCCCCACUUUGGGGAGGGACCGCUCGCAAGGCACACGCCAAGGCGGCAAAGCGAGAAUGCCUGCUGCGUCCCAAAGGACCCAGGCCCCCCCCCUGACUGACACCAGAAGGCAGCAGGGCGGGAGACCAGAGGUCAGGCCAGAGGCCGCACCCCUAUCUUCCCCCACAACACCCGCAGGUGGGGGAGGAGCAGCGAGGGGCCCGCGGACAGAAUGAGAGGUGCGGCCUAGCUCACCGUGAGAGGCUGUCCCUCAUCUGGCGUGGCUUAGGCCCAAGCCCAGGAGAGCGCCACAUCACCACAUUGAUGUAAACCUUUUUUUUUAAUCAUUUCAUAAUUAUGUUGGUUGACUUGUCUGUGAUUCUGAUCUUACAAGGAGAUGAAACUCUUUGUAGCAGUGGGUGAGC